GACGAACGCUGGCGGCGUGCCUAAUACAUGCAAGUUGAGCGCUGAAGGUUGGUACUUGUACCAACUGGAUGAGCAGCGAACGGGUGAGUAACGCGUGGGGAAUCUGCCUUUGAGCGGGGGACAACAUUUGGAAACGAAUGCUAAUACCGCAUGAAAACUUUAAACACAAGUUUUAAGUUUGAAAGAUGCAAUUGCAUCACUCAAAGAUGAUCCCGCGUUGUAUUAGCUAGUUGGUGAGGUAAAGGCUCACCAAGGCGAUGAUACAUAGCCGACCUGAGAGGGUGAUCGGCCACAUUGGGACUGAGACACGGCCCAAACUCCUACGGGAGGCAGCAGUAGGGAAUCUUCGGCAAGGGACGAAAGUCUGACCGAGCAACGCCGCGUGAGUGAAGAAGGUCUUCGGAUCGUAAAACUCUGUUGGUAGAGAAGAACGUUGGUGAGAGUGGAAAGCUCAUCAAGUGACGGUAACUACCCAGAAAGGGACGGCUAACUACGUG
rnacentral:rRNA from 1 species